UUAAGCAAGAGCAGAAGAGCG
rnacentral:snRNA from 1 species